GAUUAAGAACGUAGCGAAAUGCGAUAAAUAAUGUGAAUUGCAGAAUUCAGUGAAUCAUCGAGUCUUUGAACGCACAUUGCGCCCCCUGGUAUUCCGGGGGGCAUGCCUGUCCGAGCGUCAUUGCUGCCCUCAAGCACGGCUUGUGUGUUGGGCCCCCGUCCCCCCCUCCCGGGGGACGGGCCCGAAAGGCAGCGGCGGCACCGCGUCCGGUCCUCGAGCGUAUGGGGCUUUGUCACCCGCUCUGUAGGCCCGGCCGGCGCCUGCCGACCACCAUCAAUCUUUUUUCAGGUUGACCUCGGAUCAGGUAGGGAUACCCGCUGAACUUAAGCAUAUCAAUAAGCGGAGGA
rnacentral:misc_RNA from 1 species